GGGGCCGACCGGUUUUGACAGCGAUAAGGUUGGUGUAGUAAGCAUGUCGGGUGUUGGAAAGAUCAUCCGUGACCAAAUUUUCCAACUUUUACUAGGCGAAUCAAACUUCGCGCUAGCAGCUUAAGUUAGACUUAAGCAGCAGCUGUCUCGGUUGCAACAGCGUCUUACAGUGUAACUAAUGAGGCAUCAUCAGGUAAGAAUAAGCUAAGGGUUUUCUCGGCCCACAGACGAAAACCUCAGAGGAUAAGAACCAGUUAGGUCGUCUCUUGCCGGACUGGUUUCGAAAAUUAAUAUGAGAAUACACAUGUAGAAAGCUCAUCGGACUAUUGUUUGGACGAGGGUUCGAAUCCCUCCGGCUCCACCA
rnacentral:tmRNA from 1 species